rnacentral:lncRNA from 1 species
UUUCUUCCAAAUGUAUUCUCCAGCUCCUUAGCCAAGUACUCACAUAAUCAAAAGGCCUAAAUUUCACACCAAAAACAACAAAUCAUGUAAUUAUAAUAGUUUGAUUGCUGUCUAUAUAUUUUCUCUGAUGCAUAUAUCUAGAUGUACCAAUUUGUUUGCUGCUGCUCAGAUUUAUUGGUAAAACAUGAAACGUUUAAUGUGUAACUUCUCAAUCAAUAACUCCUUGAUUACCUCGUUUCUUCCAGAGCAGGCUGUUGCAAAAUAUACUGGAUUGGCUGCCAAGAAUUGUUGAAAGGAAAUCCUCGAGAAGAAGAUAUUCACUGGAACUGUGCUUUUGAAGAAUUUGAUGAUGUUGUUCCACUUGAAUGUUUCCUAUACCUUGUUGAGGGUGAUUUUACCAGAAUCGGAGAAUCUGCAAUAAAUUAAGAAGGCCAGGAUGUUAUUUAUUGCAACAAAAUGACAGCAAUAGAAGGAAGCAGAAUCUGGUAAUUGUCAUGAAG